rnacentral:misc_RNA from 1 species
GAUCUUCAUCGAUGAGGUAGUUGGGAUCCGUAUCUUCGAGGUCCCACACGUCAUGGGAGGCGCGUGCAAUGAAUGACUGCACAAAAUCGAUACCGAAGAAUCCUAGGAGGUAAAUGAAAGAGGCAAUGAGGGAGACAAUAGCAACAAUUUCAGAGAGAGUAACGAUAUGAAGGGGAGUGGAGUUGCGGAUCUUGUCGCGCCACCGGUGAAGGAGGUAAUACGCCACCGAGAAGAACAGCGUGAAGAAAACCGCGUUGGUCAGGUAGAGGGGAAGCGGAAGCGCGUCCGACGCUUUCGGAGUGGUCGGAGAACGGUCCUCAACGGGUGUAGCAUGCUUUCGGUGGUGGAGCCGGCCGGUGGUGUCCAUGUAAAAAUAUGCCGGCGCAGGAGAGAGAAAGGGAGAGAGGGGAGUGGAGUUGCGG